AGCUACACUCUUCUCCUUCCACUGCAGCAAAUCGAUCUGUUCAUGAUAUGCGAAUUGUUACUCCCUUGCCCGUUCCUAACUUGAGUCGAUCUGCCUCUAAAUCAUGUAACCCUAAUUUGACUUCAGCUUCUGUUGAUAGAGUCAUGGCAAAUUUAAUGAAGAAAACUCCUGUUGUUGAAACCUCUCCUAAAUUUGAUUCUGCGCCUUCCAGUUCUACACAAAGGAGUACGUCCUUUAUUUCUUAUUUAUUUUACAUGUUGUUUAUAAGCUUUUCAUUUUUUUAAUUUUUCAAUACUCUCAUUUAUUGUUUUCUUUAGU